UACGGGGGGGGCAAGCGUUGUUCGGAAUUACUGGGCGUAAAGGGCUCGUAGGUGGCCAACUAAGUCAGACGUGAAAUCCCUCGGCUUAACCGGGGAACUGCGUCUGAUACUGGAUGGCUUGAGUUCGGGAGAGGGAUGCGGAAUUCCAGGUGUAGCGGUGAAAUGCGUAGAUAUCUGGAGGAACACCGGUGGCGAAGGCGGCAUCCUGGACCGGCAUUGACGCUGAGGCGCGAAAGCUAGGGGAGCAAACAGG
rnacentral:rRNA from 1 species